rnacentral:tRNA from 1 species
UCCAGGGUAGCCUAGGGGACAUGGCAUCUGCCCGGUAAGCGGAACACUUUGGGUUCGUUUCUUAUCCCUGAAC